rnacentral:rRNA from 1 species
UACGUAGGGUGCAAGCGUUGUCCGGAAUUAUUGGGCGUAAAGAGCUCGUAGGCGGUCUGUCGCGUCGGCUGUGAAAACCCGCGGCUCAACUGUGGGCGGGCAGCUGAUACGGGCAGGCUGGAGUUCGGUAGGGGAGACUGGAAUUCCUGGUGUAGCGGUGAAAUGCGCAGAUAUCAGGAGGAACACCGGUGGCGAAGGCGGGUCUCUGGGCCGAUACUGACGCUGAGGAGCGAAAGCGUGGGGAGCGAACAGG